GUGGGGAAUAUUGGACAAUGGGGGGAACCCUGAUCCAGCCAUGCCGCGUGUGUGAAGAAGGCCUUUUGGUUGUAAAGCACUUUAAGCGAGGAGGAGGCUACCGAGAUUAAUACUCUUGGAUAGUGGACGUUACUCGCAGAAUAAGCACCGGCUAACUCUGUGCCAGCAGCCGCGGUAAUACAGAGGGUGCAAGCGUUAAUCGGAUUUACUGGGCGUAAAGCGCGCGUAGGUGGCCAAUUAAGUCAAAUGUGAAAUCCCCGAGCUUAACUGGGGAAUUGCAUUCGAUACUGGUUGGCUAGAGUAUGGGAGAGGAUGGUAGGAUUCCAGGUGUAGCGGUGAGAUGCGGAGAGAUCUGGAGGAAUACCGAUGGCGAAGGCAGCCAUCUGGCCUAAUACUGACACUGAGGUGCGAAAGCAUGGGGAGCAAACAGGAUUAGAAACCCGGGUAGUCC
rnacentral:rRNA from 1 species